CGAAUUAUCGUCACUAUUGUGGUCUUCGUCCCUCGCUUACCACGCGGGGCUCACAGUCUUCGUCCCCAUUUGACAGAUGAGGGACCUGAGGCACUGAGAAGUGAAGCGACUUGCCAAGACACACUGCAGGAGCCUCCGAAGCUUGACACGGCCCAGGACAGAUUGAUCGACUUGUUUUUCACGCUGGAAGCAGAAUAACGGGGGACGUGAAAUGUUUUCUCGAUUUAGUUUUCUCGCUGCGAGGAAAUGCAACAGAGCUCCGCUAGAUCCGUCUUGUUGCCGUCGUCUUGACAGCUCGUGGCAAUUUCACCUUUUCUGGAAACUCAUUUCUACUUUUACAAAGAGCAGAUGCAACAGGACUUGAUGUAUCGCAUUGUUAUUCCCAUAAAAGGGACCGGAGAUGAUAUUUUUCCAUCAUUCUCGCAGGUGGCUUAAAAAGGGGUAGGCUAUAAUGUCCUCGACACGGAUACGUCUUCCCGGUCUCAAUUGUCGCUCGUCUUCCUUCCUCGAGUCUUUCAGUCAUUCGUUAGAGAGGCUCUCAAGGAUCUUCGAAGUCUUUGAAUUUUUUCCCAGCCAGAGGUCACGGCCACGAGUUAGAAGACCAGGAAUAAUAUUAUCCAUCACUGCCAGAAUCUCCAUAAUUUUAUUUCCCGGCCUGUUGAAGCGUAACCUCCGACGGCUCCCUGUUGGGUUGGAAUUUAUUUUGUACUUUUUAAGAAUCUUGAAAAUGUGUUUACCAUUUGAAAAAAAGAACUGCCAGGGAAUUUUAACCCUCUCCCCCCACCCUGCCAACCCCACACACGAACACAGUUACUGGUUUACAUCUUUACGUCCCCUCCAGACUGCAAGCCCCUUAUGGGCCGGGAAUACGUCUCUCAGCUCUGUUCUGUUGUAAUGAUAACGUUGGUAUUGGUUAAGCGCUUACUAUGUGCAGAGCGCUGGGGUAGA